UACGUAGGGGGCAAGCGUUGUCCGGAUUUAUUGGGCGUAAAGCGCGUGUAGGCGGCUUUGCAAGUCGGGUGUGAAAGCCCUCAGCUCAACUGAGGAAGUGCGCCCGAAACUGCAGAGCUUGAGUACCGGAGAGGAUGGCGGAAUUCCCCAAGUAGAGGUGAAAUUCGUAGAUAUGGGGAGGAACACCAGUGGCGAAGGCGGCUUACUGGUCCGGAUCUGACGCUGAGGCGCGAAAGCGUGGGGAGCAAACAGG
rnacentral:rRNA from 1 species